rnacentral:rRNA from 1 species
UAACGCGUGAGGAACCUGCCUCAAAGAGGGGGACAACAGUUGGAAACGACUGCUAAUACCGCAUAAGCCCACGGCUCGGCAUCGAGCAGGGGGAAAAGGAGCAAUCCGCUUUGAGAUGGCCUCGCGUCCGAUUAGCUAGUUGGUGAGGUAACGGCCCACCAAGGCGACGAUCGGUAGCCGGACUGAGAGGUUGAACGGCCACAUUGGGACUGAGACACGGCCCAGACUCCUACGGGAGGCAGCAGUGGGGAAUAUUGCACAAUGGGGGAAACCCUGAUGCAGCGACGCCGCGUGGAGGAAGAAGGUCUUCGGAUUGUAAACUCCUGUUGUUGAGGAAGAUAAUGACGGUACUCAACAAGGAAGUGACGGCUAACUACGUGCCAGCAGCCGCGGUAAAACGUAGGUCACAAGCGUUGUCCGGAAUUACUGGGUGUAAAGGGAGCGCAGGCGGGAGAACAAGUUGGAAGUGAAAUCCAUGGGCUCAACCCAUGAACUGCUUUCAAAACUGUUUUUCUUGAGUAGUGCAGAGGUAGGCGGAAUUCCCGGUGUAGCGGUGGAAUGCGUAGAUAUCGGGAGGAACACCAGUGGCGAAGGCGGCCUACUGGGCACCAACUGACGCUGAGGCUCGAAAGUGUGGGUAGCAAACAGGAUUAGAUACCCUGGUAGUCCACACCGUAAACGAUGAUUACUAGGUGU